rnacentral:lncRNA from 1 species
GAUUUCCACCAACACGGGCUGCUUCCAGUUGUUGCUUCAAAUCGGCAACUUCCUCUUGCAAAGCGGACUGCCCCAACAUCACCUCGGACAGUUUUGACCCAAACUCCUCGUGUAGCGCUGAUAAUGCUUCCGUGAGCUUGAGUUCCAAGCUGGUCAGCCCCUUCUUGUGCUCUUCAUUUUGCUCGGACAAGUCAGCUUUGACUUCGUCCAGCCCUUCAAGAGCAGCAGCCUCAAGGGUACCAACGUUGGACUCAAGGGUCUCGAAGCG